GUGGAGCGAAGGGCUUGGGGAGGAGUUUGAGGAGAACCUGCGUCAAUUGUGAUGAGAAUCCUAGUGGAUGGACAGUGACCCCUUCCUUUUUAAAAAUGUCUCACUUGGCAGAGUACUGUGACACCAAGAGGAAUUUAAUGAAAUUUCAUUAUGUCUGGGGGGGAAAAAGUACUUUCUUUCAGUGAAGAAACAGCACGUCAGAGGAGUGUGGAGAAGCCCUGAGUGUCUCAAACCAGCCAAAAACUCAGGUGGCCCUAGGCAGGGAGGAUGACGUUCACCUACGAUGGAAUUGGGUUGGUUCCUGCCAGACAUCAACAUGAAUUCCUGAUACUGCUUUUGCUGGAAACUGUGGGCUUCCCUGUUGGCUCAGUGGUAAAGAAUCUGCCUGCGUUGCAGAAGACGCAGAAGAUGUGGGUUCGGAUCCCUGGGUUGGGAAGAUCUCCUGGAGAAGGAAAUGGCAACCCACUUCAGUAUUCUUGCCUGGGAAAUCCUAUGGACAGAAGAGCCUGGCAGACCUCAGUCCAUGCAGUCACAGAGAGUUGGACACAACUGAGCAUGCAUUCACGUGUGCAGAAAAUCCAGGUGCCUGAUAAUCUCUUGCACAACUUGUCCAGACAUGUACAUGUACAUGUACAGUCCAUAGGACUACAGUCCACCAGGCUCCUCUGUCCAUGGAAUUUUCCAGGUAUGAAUACUGGAGUGGUUUGCCAUGCCCACCUCCGGGGGAUCUUCCCAACCAAGAGAUCGAAACUGCCUCUCCUCAGCUCCUACAUUGCAGGUAGAUUCUUUACCCUUGAG
ensembl:lncRNA